UACAGAGGUCUCGAGCGUUAGGCGGAAUCACUGGGCUUAAAGCGUGUGUAGGUGGAUCGUUAAGUACCUUGUGAAAUCCCACGGCUUAACCGUGGAACUGCUUGGUAUACUGGCGGUCUUGAGCCACUUAGGGGCUACCGGAACAAGUGGUGGAGCGGUGAAAUGCGUAGAUAUCAUUUGGAACGCCAAUGGUGAAAACAGGUAGCUGGGAGUGUGCUGACACUGAGACACGAAAGCCAGGGGAGCAAACGGG
rnacentral:rRNA from 1 species